GUUCGGUUGGUGUAAACUUUGUAAAAGCAAAGGGCGCUAAAGUCAUGGGUCUAAGGCUAUUGGAAGCUGUCAACGCACUUCGAAUUUGCUAUGAUCGCCAGGCUACAAGC
rfam:Desulfosporosinus youngiae DSM 17734 chromosome, whole genome shotgun sequence.